rnacentral:rRNA from 1 species
GACGAACGCUGGCGGCGUGCCUAAUACAUGCAAGUCGAACGAGAGCGACCGGUACUUGCACUGGUCAAUCUAGUGGCGAACGGGUGAGUAACACGUGGGUAACCUGCCCAUCAGAGGGGGAUAACAUCCGGAAACGGAUGCUAAAACCGCAUAGGUCUUCGAGCCGCAUGGCUUGAAGAGGAAAAGAGGCGCAAGCUUCUGCUGAUGGAUGGACCCGCGGUGCAUUAGCUAGUUGGUGAGGUAACGGCUCACCAAGGCCGUGAUGCAUAGCCGACCUGAGAGGGUGAUCGGCCACAUUGGGACUGAGACACGGCCCAAACUCCUACGGGAGGCAGCAGUAGGGAAUCUUCCGCAAUGGACGCAAGUCUGACGGAGCAACGCCGCGUGAGUGAAGAAGGUUUUCGGAUCGUAAAACUCUGUUGUUAGAGAAGAACAAGUGCUAGAGUAACUGUUAGCGCCUUGACGGUAUCUAACCAGAAAGCCACGGCUAACUACGUG